rnacentral:rRNA from 1 species
GAUGAACGCUGGCGGUCUACUUAACACAUGCAAGUCGUACGGAAUCCUUCGGGAAUUAGUGGCGGACGGGUGAGUAACGCGUGAGAAUCUGCCUUCAGGUUCGUGACAACAGCUGGAAACGGCUGCUAAUACCGGAUGUGCCGAGAGGUGAAAGCUUUAGUGCCUGAAGAUGAGCUCGCGUCUGAUUAGCUAGUAGGAGUGGUAAUGGCACCCCUAGGCGACGAUCAGUAGCUGGUCUGAGAGGAUGAUCAGCCACACUGGGACUGAGACACGGCCCAGACUCCUACGGGAGGCAGCAGUGGGGAAUUUUCCGCAAUGGGCGCAAGCUUGACGGAGCAAGACCGCGUGAGGGAAGAAGGUCUGUGGAUUGUAAACCUCUUUUGAUGGGGAAGAAGACAGUGACGGUACCCAUCGAAUCAGCCUCGGCUAACUCCGUGCCAGCCGCCGCGGUAA